UAAAACUGACUAUUAAUUUGAGUGUACUUAGACGGCGGUAUCAGAUAUGGUACAGACGUUUUCAAGGCUUUAGCUUUGGGUGCAAGGGCUGUGUUUGUAGGAAGACCUGUGUUAUGGGGCUUAGCCUAUCAAGUAAGUAUACCACAGUGAAAUGAAUAAAGCUGGAACGCUACCUCCAACCGGAAAUUUGAAGCCAAACUUGAAGGCCAAUCCCAGUCUUUUCAUGCACACGGAGAGCGCGGUCAACCAGGGGUCAACUGUCAACAUGAAUAUGAAAACCGGCUUACACUGCAAUUUACAAAAUAAAAGCUCUCUCUAUUAAUGCAUUUAUUCAGUUUAAACUUCCUUGUAGACUUUACUUUUCUUUUUUCCUUUUUUUUUGUCCGAUAGUAAUGACCAGCGAGGUUUUUAACACAAUUUAUACUCAACCUAUAGUUUUAUUUCCAGAUCAGUAUACUGCAACUGUCAAGGUUAAUGCUGUUUUUUCUGCUGGGUGUUUUAGGGAGAGGAAGGCGUGUAUAAAGUUCUUCAGAUCUUCAAAGAAGAAUUUAAAUUAGCAAUGGGCCUAACGGGUGAGAUUCAAACUAAAUUCGCUACUGUUUCCUUUAUUCAGAUAGAUGUAGGUCUCUCUGAAUCUGCGAAUCCUAUAGUUUUACAUGCAAGGUAGCUUUUGUUUUGUUUAUAAUUAUAGGAUGUGCAAAUCUAAAAGAUAUUUCAAGGGACAUGGUUGUCCAUCAAUCCCAUUAUUCAAGAAUAUAAACUUCAAAUCGAAAAGCAAAUUGGUUGUGAGUAACAGACGAGUAACAGACGACUACAGUCUACGGAAGAGUAAAUUUUCUAAAUACGACUAAUAAACAGCAUUUUGACGGACUGUGUUUAAUAAAUGAUGCAAUAUUGUUCAAAGUAAUUCCAAAAUAAUUCACAAUUCCUCGGCGUCCUGGGCAUGCUGCUAGGUAAAAGUAUUGAAUUUUAGGUCUCUGAAACUAAAUAUCCUGCAUAACAACCUAAGAAAUUCUAAUGCAUUAACUACGAUUAAAUGCAGAACAGAACGGUACCGCCGCAGCUUCUUUCCGAGCACUGUGGCUAUUUUUAAUUAAUGACAGUAGCAACAUUUAGAUACAGAUUUUAUAUAAGUACAAAGUAACAUUUUAAUACAUUUUAACUCUCAGUUAAUCCUUAUUAUUGUUAAUAUAGUAAUUAAAUACUUAGUUGUAAAUUCACCGCAAUUCAAAUUUAUGCGAUGGUGAAUAUUCUUAAACAUGAA